AAGAAAAUUUUUAUUAUAAAUAAUUUUUAAUUAGAGAUUUCUUAAAAUAUUAAUAUUUGAUUAAUGCUGUGAAAAAAUUUUUUUAAUAAUAGAUGAUUUGUAUUGUGAAAGAAUAUUUUUAUUUAUUAAAAAGAAAAAUUAAUUUUUUGUACCUUGUGUAUCAGGGCUUAUUAAAUUUAAACUAAAAGUUUAGAAGUCUCGAAUCUAAAAGAGCUAAUACUUUAUUUUUUAAAUGUUUCAUAAUUUUUAAGAAUAUGGUUUUAGAAAUGAAAUGUUAUUCGUUUUUUGAUAUAUCUAGUUUUUUGAGAAAUAAAUUUAAUUUAUUAAUUUUUAAAAUUUACUUAUUUUUAAGGUAGAUUUUGAAAAUUUUUAAUUUUCUUAGGGAAAAGCUUGAGAAAGUAGUUUUAUUUAUUUUUGAUAGUGAAUUUAUUAGUAGGAUUGUAAUUUUCUAUCUUUUUUAUGAUGUUAUAGUUUUUUUAUUAUUAUUUAUUAUUUUUAUUGUUAAUAAAUUUUUUAUCAAAAUAUUAAAUUUUAUGUUUUAAUUUAAGGAAUAAUGAUUGGAUUAGUAUAUUUUUAUGUAAUUGUUAACAAAUUUUGAAGAUUUAAUUAAUAAAUUCGGCAAUUUUAUUUUUCACCUGUUUAUUAAAAACAUGUUCUUUAAGAUUAUAAUUAAAGGUCUGGCCUGCUCAAUGAUUUAAAAUUAAAUAGCUGCAGUAUUUUGACUGUACUAAGGUAGCAUAAUCAUUAGCUUUUUAAAUGAAAGCUGGUAUGAAGGGUUUAAUGAGAAAAUAGCUGUCUCUUUUAUAUAAAUAUAAAUUUAUUUUUAAGUAAAAAAGCUUAAAUUUAAUUAAAAGACGAGAAGACCCUAUAGAGUUUUAUAAUUUAUAUAUUUUUGUUAUUAAGGUUUAAAAUUUACGUUAAUAUUAAAGAUUAUUUGGUUGGGGUGACUAAAAAAUUCAUUGAACUUUUUUAUUAAUUAAACUUUAAUUAAAGAUUAGUUAGACCCGUUUUUGACGUUUAAAAGAAUAAAUUACCUUAGGGAUAACAGCGUAAUCUUUUUUUAGAGUUCUUAUCGAUAAAAGGGAUUGCGACCUCGAUGUUGGAUUAAAAUUAACUUUUAGGUGCAAAAGCUAUAAGGUUGAGUCUGUUCGACUUUUAAAAUUUUACAUGAUCUGAGUUUAAACCGGCGUGAGCCAGGUUGGUUUCUAUCUUUAAUGAAUUAAAAAAUUUUAGUACGAAAGGACCAAAUUUUGAAUUAAAAAUUUAUAAUUGAAUAUU
rnacentral:rRNA from 1 species